CUCAAGCCAACAUGACUCUCAUUUUCUCACUCUUUCUCUCACAUAAGUGCAUACAUGCAAACACACUCCUUUCUCUGUUUGUCUUGCUAGAAAGACACUCUACUUUCUCUCCACAUAGUUGUAUGUGGCCACAGCAUAGCCCCUGAAUUUACUUACAGCCUAGCUCCAGCUACACAGAAAGACUUAUUAGUUGCCUCUACGUUACAGUUCCAAAGGGAGACACUAAUUGAUUGGUUUUUGUUUCGGUGGCCACCUCUGAAUCAUCAGCUAUGACCAGUGGUUUCAGAGUCACAUAAAAGAAGCCUGGCUUCUAGGGAUCACUAGUCCAGAUGAAGCCAGAUGACAAGGAUCUGAGGACAAACAGAAAACAAGAAGUUUCUGAACAUCAGUUUUGGCAGACUGCUCAUCGUUUUUUAAGGACUGAUAAGAAAAGUGGAAAAAUGAAGUUUUAUUCAGGUAUCUAGCACUCUUCACAUUCUUCUCAUUAAAAGGAAAUCGGAAUGGCCCAUUGCUAAGAACCACAAUAUUCUCGCUGGCCUUGUGAAUUUCACUGAUGAACAGUAGUCAACCAGUAAUCAGACAAUUAUUAAUGCCCCAAAUUUCCAUUCAGUCUCACUGGCAAAGUUAAAUAAUAAACAGCAAGGCAUGUUUUUAUUUCCUUCCAAUUUUUAACCUUACUUUAUGCCCCAAUUUGUUUCUCCUGAACAAUAAACACAUCUCCAAAAUCAUCUUAAGUGACCAUAAUUCAUAAUAGUAGAUUAUAUGUAUUGACAGGUUAUUAUAUAUGCUGUCAUAUUAUAUAUAGGGUUAAUAAUAGUGCUUUUCUCAUGAAUUUGUUCUGAAGAGUAAAUGAAAUGACGUGCAUAACACAUCCGUACCUAUUUUAUAGGCACGGAAAUUAAGUCACAAGAGUAGUAAAUAACUUCUAAGGACAUGCUAUUAAGAAAGUGGUGUAUCAGUGAGUCUCCAAAGCCUAAUAUCUUAACCACAAAUUUGAAAGAAUAUACUGAUUUGGCUAUGAGUUUAUCAGUUAAAUGUUCAUUGCGUCCUUCAAGAACUUACUGUAUAUUGCUUCUUUCUUCUCUAUUACGCAAAUAAAUGUUGACUUUGUUUACUAUAUUUAUUUUUAAUUAAAUUACAAAUAACAUUUCCCUUUUAUAAUAUACAACAUUGUUUCAUUUCACCUUCAUAUUUGAUUUUCAAAUAAUGUUAUGAAGAAAACAGAACCAAUUUAAAUCUCUCUAUUUUCUGGUAAAUACAUUGGGAACCAUGAAGAGGCACAAGUUAUCAGGAAAAUGUUGGCAGAAUUGUUAAUUAACAGUACUACUUUAGAUUCAAACAUUUAAGGUCCUUAUGUAAGAGGAAACCAAAUUACACUGCGGAAGUAACCAUAAUGAAAGUAUUGGCUAACAUUUUAUUGGAUUUUCUUCCAUUUACAAAUGAGUGUAUGUUCAUCUUCUAAUAAUUUUCUCUUGCUUACAUGAAAAGUAAAUGUGACCCUCCUACACUCAGGUUCUGUAACUGGCUUCAUAUGUCUUAGAGCACUUUCCAUGUCUAUAUAUUACUAUCCAUUUUGGUUGUACUUGAAUAUAUUUUUACCACUGAUAAUUUACGGUGUUUCCAAUUUUUUCUUUCUCUCUUAAAAAUUAAUAAAGUGUAUAUAUGUGGAC
rnacentral:lncRNA from 1 species